rnacentral:rRNA from 1 species
UGAGCAACCUGCCCUUGACCCCGGAAUAACAGCUGGAAACAGCUGCUAAUACCGGAUACGACCUCCGACGGCAUCAUCUGGAGGUGGAAAGCUCCGACGGUCAAGGAUGGGCUCGCGGCCUAUCAGCUUGUUGGUGAGGUAAUGGCUUACCAAGGCGACGACGGGUAGCCGGCCUGAGAGGGUGACCGGCCACACUGGGUCUGAGACACGGCCCAGACUCCUACGGGAGGNAGCG